rnacentral:lncRNA from 1 species
GUAAAUAAAUAUGGACAAAGAGUGAAAGACAGAAUUUGUAAUGUUAGGAUAAUGGACUUAGAUUUUUCAAUGUUUUCCUGUGCAUUUCUAAUUUAAAAUGCUUGGUUUUUUUGUUUGUAACUUUUUUCUAAGAAAGAAUUGACAUAGAGAAGAUCAUUUGUCUCUUCAAUCAAUAACUUUCUGAACUACUCUACUCUUAAUGUUAACAUGUGUAUUUACUCACUUUUUUCAAACUGCCUCCAUGCUAUCCCCAGACAGCAUUACUCCAGGAUACCACAAUACUCUUCCAGAGUAGGAAUUUCACACUCAUAUAUGUCAAGGGACCUCUGCAGGGGAGGGAUUCUAUGAGAAAGGGAGUGAUGGCCCUAUUACUGGAGUGCGAAGAACCCUAGAAGCAUUAAAAAUGUAUUUCACUUUCAACAUUAUAGAACAUUUUAAUGUACAAAGAAGAUAAAUCUCUGGGGUAAAUAGUUUUAUCAACUGGCAUUAUGCUAGUUCUGCUCUAUCUAGGGUACAUGUUCUCAACCUCGGGUCUAGAGACAGAAUUCAUCUUUAUUUAGAUGGAAAAAAUUUUUUACUCAAACAUAAAUUUAGUAUUUAAUUAUGAAUGAAGAUCAUCAGUCACAGUAAUAUUAGCAGUAAUUAUGAGUUUGUCACCAUUGUAAAUUAGUAAUAUUUUCAUAUCAUGUUGUAUUUGGUGUAAAUAUCUCAAUGUGUUUACAGUGGCUGCUGCUUCAAAAUGCAGUACUUAGUUUCAGGUUUGUCUUGUUACUUAAUGUCUUACUAAGGAAGAUGCAUCUCUAAUAAGGAAGAUGGAUUGAGUAAGACACAGUUUGGGAUAAGGAGGCUCAAAAAUGAGAUCAGGAAGUACUUUCAAUUUUAUUUGUAAUAUUCUAUUUAAGUUAGAUGAUGGUGAGUUUAUGGAUAUUCAUUUUAUUGCUAUUCUUUAAAACCUACUUCUUAUUUUCCAAGUGUUCUUUUGUAUGCAAAAAUUUAUAACUUGUGAAUCUUUUUAUAAUAUUUCUAUUAGAUGCCAACAUUACCUACUUUACUCUCCCCCUUUCUGAAAAAUUCCCACCCACUGCCCUUGUUGAGCUAGUAGAGCACCGUAUGAUACUACUGUGUGGGGUAGUUUGUUGGGCUAGAGGUGAACUCCUGACCUAUGGAGUAACCUGUGAGGUGCUAUGGAGUGAUUCUGAGGAUGUGGUUUGAAAAAGAGCUGGAUGGAACUCAUCAACAAAAUCCUGUAUUGAGAUAGAAAAUUUACCAGUUAUAGGCAAUUGAAUCUAGAGGCUUAUAUCUUAUAUGAGAUACAGCAAGGGGGUCCCUAGUUGGACCUUGUAGGCCAAUAAAACCCUAGAAUUAUGUGAAAAAUUUUAAGUGUAUCCUUCAGGAGGCUUGUGGCUUUCACCUAGGGUCUCUAAUCUAAUCUGAGAUAAGAAUCACUGUGGCAAAGGCUUACAAGUAACCUGAGUAGUUAAAUAAAAACAGAGUAGAUAGUAGGAGGAGACAGAGAAGCUAGGAGUGACAGAUGAGAUAGAGGUGAAUAGGCUGGUGCUCAGAGCUGCCUCUGUUUCUGUCCUUUCUAAGUCAUCCUUCAUCUUUUGGAAAGUCUUAUGAGAAAUCUGAGCCUUUCAAAAGAAAGAUGUAUUUCAAUUGAGAUCUUUUCCAUUCUUUGCAUUGACAGAAUCCUGUUUAUGAAAAUGUGGAAAUGACACUUAAAUUUUUCAUUAAUGUUCAAAUUUGGAAGUUUUCUUUUUUUUAUAGGCAAGAAAUAGAUUUAUCAAGAUAGGAUACUUACAAGGGAUGCAAGAAGGCAGGCAAAGAAGCUCUGCCAAAUUUGGAAGUUUUCUUGAAGAACAUAGUAAUUGACAAUUUUUUAAAAACUUCAUUACUUUGGAGAAUAGUUGGAAGGGUUAAUUCUUGGCAACUAAUUAACUCUUGAGCAAGAAUAAAAGAAAGCAAGAACUAAUUAACUCUUGAGCAAGAAUAAUUUACUAUUUAAAUUAUUGAAAUAGUACAGAGAAAAUCCUCUAAGUCACUUUAGGCAUAUCAGCAGGGUUGAAAUGCUUGUGAGAAUUAUUUCUCCCCAUCAGUCAUUGAUCCAGGAAGCCCUCCCAGUCACCUUUCAAACUGUAAUGUGCUUGGCUGGGCAAUAGUUUCACGCAGUGAUUUGUGGUUCUCAGGAAAACUCAAUGCUUCUGAUCACACAAACUCAAAAACAAAAAUCAAUGGGCAAAUCACAAUAAGAUAGUUAUUUUUGAGUUGCAAAUCCCUUGUGAUUAAACCAGAACGAAUUCUGUCCAAUAGAAAUAGAACCAUAUUCCUUAUUGCACGUCCUGCUACUUGCUAUUGUCCUUGCUUUUCUAAUUUCUUAAGAAUUGUUCAUGAAUAAAGGGAAGAACUUUCAAAAAUAUUUAAAAUGUUUUUCUAACUGUGCAAAGAAUUUAUUGGCUCUGUAUAAUCCAGCCAGUAUUUCUGAAGUCCCUUUUAAUUUGUGUACUUUUGUAACUAUUCAGAGGAGUCAUUAUUACCCAUAAAAAGUAUUUUAUUUUAUCAUUUUAGGAGACUUUUCCUUCCACACUUAUGGAGGCAGUUGUUUUUUUCCAAGUGGCAAAACGUGUAAGAAAAAUACAUACAAAAAAAAAGAAAAA